CCUACGGGGUGCAGCAGUGGGGAAUAUUGCACAAUGGGGGAAACCCUGAUGCAGCGACGCCGCGUGAGUGAAGAAGUAAUUCGUUAUGUAAAGCUCUAUCAGCAGGGCCGAAAAUGACGGUACCUGAGUAAGAAGCCCCGGCUAACUACGUGCCAGCAGCCGCGGUAAUACGUAGGGGGCAAGCGUUAUCCGGAUUUACUGGGUGGAAAGGGAGCGUAGACGGCAGUGCAAGUCUGGAGUGAAAGGCGGGGGCUCAACCCCCGGACUGCUCUGGAAACUGUACGGCUGGAGUGCAGGAGAGGUAAGUGGAAUUCCUAGUGUAGCGGUGAAAUGCGUAGAUAUUAGGAGGAACACCAGUGGCGAAGGCGGCUUACUGGACUGUAACUGACGUUGAGGCUCGAAAGCGUGGGGAGCAAACAGGAUUAGAUACCCUUGUAGUC
rnacentral:rRNA from 1 species